rnacentral:rRNA from 1 species
GGUCCCGAUCCUCCCACCCUUUGUGUACCUACCUCUGUUGCUUUGGCGGGCCGCGGUCCUCCGCGGCCGCCCCCCUCCCCGGGGGGUGGCCAGCGCCCGCCAGAGGACCAUCAAACUCCAGUCAGUAAACGAUGCAGUCUGAAAAACAUUUAAUAAACUAAAACUUUCAACAACGGAUCUCUUGGUUCUGGCAUCGAUGAAGAACGCAGCGAAAUGCGAUAAGUAAUGUGAAUUGCAGAAUUCAGUGAAUCAUCGAAUCUUUGAACGCACAUUGCGCCCUUUGGUAUUCCGAAGGGCAUGCCUGUUCGAGCGUCAUUACAACCCUCAAGCUCUGCUUGGUAUUGGGCACCGUCCUUUGCGGGCGCGCCUCAAAGACCUCGGCGGUGGCGUCUUGCCUCAAGCGUAGUAGAACAUACAUCUCGCUUCGGAGCGCAGGGCGUCGCCCGCCGGACGAACCUUCUGAACUUUUCUCAAGGUUGACCUCGGAUCAGGUAGGGAUACCCGCUGAACUUAAGCAUAUCAAUAAGCGGAGGAA